UACGAACUGUGCGAACGUUAUUCGGAAUCACUGGGCUUACAGGGUGCGUAGGCGGCCUGACAAGUAGGGUGUGAAAGCCCCCGGCUCAACCGGGGAAUGGCGCCCUAAACUGUCGGGCUGGAGUGAGAUAGGGGUGUGCGGAACUUCCGGUGGAGCGGUGAAAUGUGUUGAUAUCGGAAGGAACGCCGGUGGCGAAAGCGGCACACUGGAUCUCAACUGACGCUGAGGCACGAAAGCCAGGGGAGCGAACGGG
rnacentral:rRNA from 1 species